CCCAGGGUCUGUCGGAUGUCU
rnacentral:miRNA from 1 species